UGGUGACUAUAGCAAGGAGGUCACACCUGUUCCCAUGUCGAACACAGAAGUUAAGGUUCUUAGCGUCGAUGGUAGUCGAACUUACGUUCCGCUAGAGUAGAACGUUGCCAGGCA
rnacentral:rRNA from 1 species